CUCGAGUGUGUGAUGACGGGUUUCGGCUCGUAAAACACUGUUGUAAGAGAAGAAUGACAUUGAGAGUAACUGUUCAAUGUGUGACGGUAUCUUACCAGAAAGGAACGGCUAAAUACGUGCCAGCAGCCGCGGUAAUACGUAUGUUCCAAGCGUUAUCCGGAUUUAUUGGGCGUAAAGCGAGCGCUUUCGGUUAUUUAAGUCUGAAGUGAAAGCCCUCAGCUCAACUGAGGAUUUGUUUUGAAAACUGUAUGACUUGAGUGCAUUAUAGGAAAGCGGAAUUCCCUG
rnacentral:rRNA from 1 species